rnacentral:rRNA from 1 species
AGCGAACUGAUUAGAAGCUUGCUUCUAUGACGUUAGCGGCGGACGGGUGAGUAACACGUGGGCAACCUGCCUGUAAGACUGGGAUAACUUCGGGAAACCGAAGCUAAUACCGGAUAGGAUCUUCUCCUUCAUGGGAGAUGAUUGAAAGAUGGUUUCGGCUAUCACUUACAGAUGGGCCCGCGGUGCAUUAGCUAGUUGGUGAGGUAACGGCUCACCAAGGCAACGAUGCAUAGCCGACCUGAGAGGGUGAUCGGCCACACUGGGACUGAGACACGGCCCAGACUCCUACGGGAGGCAGCAGUAGGGAAUCUUCCGCAAUGGACGAAAGUCUGACGGAGCAACGCCGCGUGAGUGAUGAAGGCUUUCGGGUCGUAAAACUCUGUUGUUAGGGAAGAACAAGUACGAGAGUAACUGCUCGUACCUUGACGGUACCUAACCAGAAAGCCACGGCUAACUACGUGCCAGCAGCCGCGGUAAUACGUAGGUGGCAAGCGUUAUCCGGAAUUAUUGGGCGUAAAGCGCGCGCAGGCGGUUUCUUAAGUCUGAUGUGAAAGCCCACGGCUCAACCGUGGAGGGUCAUUGGAAAC